UACGAAGGGGGCUAGCGUUGUUCGGAUUUACUGGGCGUAAAGCGCACGUAGGCGGAUCGAUCAGUCAGGGGUGAAAUCCCAGAGCUCAACUCUGGAACUGCCUUUGAUACUGUCGAUCUGGAGUAUGGAAGAGGUGAGUGGAAUUCCGAGUGUAGAGGUGAAAUUCGUAGAUAUUCGGAGGAACACCAGUGGCGAAGGCGGCUCACUGGUCCGAUACUGACGCUGAGGCACGAAAGCGUGGGGAGCAAACAGG
rnacentral:rRNA from 1 species